GCUAUAAGGUUAUUUUCAUUUACUCUUCUUACUGUCAGUAACUUGAUCACUGCAACCUAUAAUUAGAAUAAC